rnacentral:rRNA from 1 species
AUUGAACGCUGGCGGCAUGCCUUACACAUGCAAGUCGAACGGUAACAGGUCUUCGGAUGCUGACGAGUGGCGAACGGGGGAGUAAUACAUCGGAACGUGCCUAGGAGUGGGGGAUAACUACUCGAAAGAGUGGCUAAUACCGCAUGAGAUCUACGGAUGCAAGCAGGGGAUCGCAAGACCUUGUGCUACUAGAGCGGCCGAUGGCAGAUUAGGUAGUUGGUGGGAUAAAAGCUUACCAAGCCGACGAUCUGUAGCUGGGCUGAGAGGACGAUCAGCCACACUGUGACUGAGACACGGCCCAGACUCCUACGGGAGGCAGCAGUGGGGAAUUUUGGACAAUGGGCGCAAGCCUGAUCCAGCAAUGCCGCGUGCAGGAUGAAGGCCUUCGGGUUGUAAACUGCUUUUGUACGGAACGAAAAGCCCUGGGUUAAUACCCUGGGGUCAUGACGGUACCGUAAGAAUAAGCACCGGCUAACUACGUGCCAGCCGCCGCCGUAAUAC